UUUCGAAUCAUUCACAAUGGGCGAAAGCCUGAUGGUGCGACGCCGCGUGAGGGAUGAAGGUCUUCGGAUUGUAAACCUCUGUCACCGGGGAAGAAACGCUUCAAGUUAAUAGUUUGAAGCCUGACUUAACCCGGAGAGGAAGCAGUGGCUAACUCUGUGCCAGCAGCCGCGGUAAUACAGAGACUGCAAGCGUUAUUCGGAUUCACUGGGCGUAAAGGGUGCGCAGGCGGCCAAGUGUGUGAGGCGUGAAAGCCCGAUGCUUAACAUCGGAAUUGCACCUCAAACUACAUGGCUAGAGCAUUGGAGAGGGUAGCGGAAUUCACGGUGUAGCAGUGAAAUGCGUAGAUAUCGUGAGGAACACCAGAGGCGAAGGCGGCUACCUGGACAAUUGCUGACGCUCAGGCACGAAAGCGUGGGGAGCAAAAG
rnacentral:rRNA from 1 species